CACUCAUAUUGAACUAUACGAUGGUAUCUAGACAGGUUAGACAACAGGAGUUAAGGUAAUAAAAAGUUUGCCAUGGCGAAAUUUUAUUAAAACAUUGCGUUGUAAGUGUAUACUUUUACUCUUUUAUUUAAGCAUGUCCUCAAGGAUUAAUAUAUGUGUGAUAAUUGUCUGUAAAUUUCAGUUCAUUAAUAUAUAUAUAUUCAUUUUUAAUUGUGCUUUUGGUAAUUCAAAUUCCUUUCAGGCAGGUCUGAUGUUUUGGUUGUACUGUUGUAAAUGGUUUGCUCUCUAGCGGUUUUUUAAAGGUUAUUUUUUAGUGAGCGGAUGAAGGUUACUUCAGAAACACACGUUGUCUAAACGGAAAUCAUACCUCAUGUUUAAUUAACGAAUUGCUACAAAUAUGUGACUUAUGUCAUCAGGACUCUUUGAUCAUCUUUAAGAUUCUGGCAUAGUUAGUGAAACAAAAAAGAAGGAAGUUCUAAAAAAUAUAUAAUUUACAAAAAUGCAUGAGUGAAAAAAAGCAACUUACCGGCUAUAUCGGAACAAUCGAAAUGUCAAUAUCCUCUCCAUGAUUUACCUCUUAUAGUCCUAUUUCUUUUACCUAACUGUACUUGGGAGUUACUCCGCCCAUUGGUUUAUUG
rnacentral:lncRNA from 1 species